rnacentral:rRNA from 1 species
UACGUAGGCAGCAAGCGUUGUUCGGAGUUACUGGGCGUAAAGGGUGCGUAGGCGGCUUCUUAAGUUUGGUGUGAAAUCUCCCGGCUCAACUGGGAGGGUGCGCCGAAUACUGAGGGGCUAGAGUGUGGGAGAGGAAAGUGGAAUUCCAGGUGUAGCGGUGAAAUGCGUAGAUAUGUGGAAGAACACCGGUGGUGAAGACGGUUUACUGGGGCUGAGACUGCA